CUCAAGGACUAUUUGCAGACAAGUGAAUAUAUGGAGGCUUUCUCGUUUGAUUAGGGAACUGGCCGAGGUGCCUGGCUCAGCGGAGGGUACCAGACAACUGGAGGCUCUACGUGGAGCUGGCAAUCCACUGGUCCCCCACUAAUGUACAGCAGGUCCUAGCACUGGUAGAUACUGGUGCAGACUGCAGUAUAGUUUAUGGAAACCCGGAUAAGUUUCUGGGCAAAGCUGCAUUUAUUGACGGUUAUGGGGGCCAGUCAGUGAAGGUGAAACCUGUGUCUCUGCAUCUUGGCGUUGGCCACUUGGCUCCCUGCCUGUACACUGUGUAUGUUUCUCCUAUACCUGAAUAUAUUCUGGGGGUGGACAUUUUGCAUAGUCUGGACUUACACACUGCGGUUGGAGAAUUCAGACUAAGAAUUCAUGUAUUAAAACUGGUACUGUGUGGACAUUCGCAUCACCAGUCCCAAGUUCUGCCACAACCCUGAUGGGUUACCUCCACUCAUCAAUACCAUUUGCCAGAGAUAACUGAGACUAUUAAGAGGUUAGAGGAGGUGCAAAUAGUGUGUGGCACCCAUAUUCCCUACAAUUCCCCAGUAUGGCCAGUCAGAAAGCCUGAUGGGACUUGGCAGAUGACAGUGGAUUAUUGGGAACUGAAAUAAGUAACACCCCCUCCACGUGCAGCUGGACCUUCCAUCGUGGACUUGAUGGACUUGACAAUAGAGCUGGGACAGUAGCACUUUGUGAUGGGACUUGGCUAAUGCAUUCUUCUCCAUUGACAUCGCUCCAGAGAGCCAGGCAGAGUUUGCCUUCAUGGGAGGGCAACAAUGGACUUUCACAGUGUUGCUGCAGGGCUAUAUGCAUAGCCCCACCAUGUUUCAUGAUCUCAUUGAUGAUGUUAUGCUAACCUUUGAUUCUGUUGCAGGUUUAGAAGUGGCAAUGACCCUCUUGCCUGGGAUUGGGAUGACGAAGCUGAGACAGCAUGUCUGGUAACCAAGCGGGCUAUUUAGCAGGUUGGCAUGUCCAGCAGCAUCAUGGACUGGGCCCAGACCUAUACCAAGGUGACCAAUGUCUCCAACUGUUGGAUCUGCACCACCCUUCCAGCAGCAGCUGCAGACAGCUUGCCCUGGCACAUGCAUUCAGCUUCUGUGAAGAACUGGACGUGGCUAGAGACUUCGGGUCGCACGGACAAUGGGUGGGAGGCAAUAUGUUCUGAAUGAAGCCCCUGCGUUGGACACAAUCACC
rnacentral:lncRNA from 1 species